AUCCUAUAUUUGCGGCACCAUGGGUUCACCAUCGACCAAACUCUCAAGGUGUCCCCGAGUCUCAUGGAGCAUUCCACCCCUAGGGUCCUGCUCUCCCUCUCUUUGAUCGCUCUCCUCUUCUCAGCUUUCAUCAUUUCUCCAUCUCAGUCAAGGGAAAUUCCAAGCUGGAAUCACCCACGUACAGGUGGAGAUGUUGCAGUGAGCUCGCGAGGGCAUGGGAGGAUGGCGAGGUCAGCGGCGUUUGGGCCACCUUCGCCUGCUGCUAAUUCGAGGCUCCCUGGUCAUGGUUGAGGCGUGGAACUUCUACCCUAUGGCUUCGAAUGUCCUUUGGGUAUCUACCUCAUGGUUUGGCUUAUUGCUACUGUAGUACGUCUAGUUUCUUGAUCCUUUGUGAGUAUUAGAAGUUUAAACUUGGUGGCUUUGUCUAUCAAAGGGAUAUUAGUUUUGGGCGUAGUUACUGCUAUGAAUUUGGAGUCUUUGUUGGGACCUAUCGAUGAAAUAGAAUUGCAGGGAAAGUAGAUAUCUCCUAAAAAUAAAAGUGGGUUUCCUCGAUUUCUUUCCUCUAACACAGUUUUCCUUGAUUUCUUUUUUGGGUCUGGCUCCUACUACACCCCUACCUGUUGAGAUUAGGGUCAUUGAAUGUCACCCAAUUACA